UUAAGACCUUUUUAGGGUCCAAGGAUUCCUCAGACACAGAUCUGACAAACACAGGGAGAGGCUAUGUCGCCACGACCUUUGGGUCUGAGACUGUUCCCCAUUCUUAAACCCCUCCUACUCCCUGGAUCCUCAGCUGUGAGAUGGCUUCCCAAAACUUGGACUCCUGCCUCUCCCUGAAUCUUCCCCAUCCUGUGAUUCCAUUUCUCUUGGUACACAAUGGUCAAUGGGAAAUAUCCAAUUCCUGUCUUUGACAUUCUUUGUUACAUUCAGGGCAGAAUUGAAAGUACUGGAAUAGGAGGGAGAUUAGUUAUACCUGUCUUUGCCUUACCAAAGAGGGUGGGGGUAAUAAACUCACCCAAGUCAGGAACACAGAUCUGGAGUAUUUCCUAUCUUGGGGAGAGAAGAGAUGAAAUCCCAUUUGGACAGGGAAAGGAACCCUGGUACUCAUCCUCCUGCUCUUGUAUGGCGGAAGAUGUAGCCAUUCUGGAAAGAAGAUUCCCUCAUAUAAGGAGAUCAAGGCAACUCUUUCACUUCAUUUUUCUGAGUCAGGGGAAGUAAGAGGAAGUGAAACAAAGAUGGGCUUAGUGGGAGAAAGGGCAAAUGCUGACCAGCCCUUUUCUCAGCCCUCUGCUUCCUGUCUCCAAGCCUCUCUCCUGGCCCCUAGACAAUCUUUCCCGUCUGACCAUACUUGGCUGCUCUUAGCCCCUCACCUCUCCCUUACUUGGCCUGGCUCCUGUUUUGAGACUUGUUUUUCACCCUGAGCCACCAUUCCAACACCUGUCCAGAGAUAUCAGAGAUGUCUACAAAUUUCCCAGGAGCUGGCCUGGGCCAGGUCAGGAGAUCUUUGUAUACCAGAUUGGACCUAAUGAAUAAAUGAUACUAAGAACUGGAUCUCCUCUAAUGGCUGUACAUGAGUCUGAGAUUUGGAAUUACUGCGUGGAAGUCCAC